rnacentral:rRNA from 1 species
UGGGGAAUAUUGCACAAUGGGCGCAAGCCUGAUGCAGCCAUGCCGCGUGUGUGAAGAAGGCCUUCGGGUUGUAAAGCACUUUCAGCGAGGAGGAAGGUGGUGAACUUAAUACGUUCAUCAAUUGACGUUACUCGCAGAAGAAGCACCGGCUAACUCCGUGCCAGCAGCCGCGGUAAUACGGAGGGUGCAAGCGUUAAUCGGAAUUACUGGGCGUAAAGCGCACGCAGGCGGUUUGUUAAGUCAGAUGUGAAAUCCCCGGGCUCAACCUGGGAACUGCAUUUGAAACUGGCAAGCUAGAGUCUCGUAGAGGGGGUAGAAUUCCAGGUGUAGCGGUGAAAUGCGUAGAGAUCUGGAGGAAUACCGGUGGCGAAGGCGGCCCCCUGGACGAAGACUG